UGCUGCCAACGUUGAUCACUGCUGUAGUAGAGAUUCUCUCAUAACAAGUGGAAAGAAACAUAAAGGCAACAUCUGGUGUGCUGGAAAGAAUGCUGAAGAGAACCUGGAUCUAAGCUCCAAUUCUACGUACAAGCUGCCUGACAUUAGGCAGUGAUCCGGCUGCCUGCUCCAGUGUAAAAACUACCCCCAAAAUCAGUAAAGUAAAACAACAACCAUCUCAUUAUGCUCAGAAAUCCCAUGGUUAGGAAUUCAAAUAGUUCACUGUAGGCAUGGCUUGUCUCUGCUCCAGAAUAUCUGAGGUCUUGGUUGGGAAAACUUAAAUAGCUGGGACUGGAAUCAUCUAGAGGCUUCUUCACUUACUUGUUGGCUACCUGGGCUGGGGCUCAACUGUGAGAACCCUGGGCUGUGUACUGGUUCCUCAAUGGCGUGGGCUUCUUUAUGGCAUGGCAGCCUCAGGAUAACUGGACUUUCUACACGGCAGCUCAGGGCUUCAAAAGCACAAUCAUGGCUCACUGCAACUUCAACCUCCCAGGCUCAAGUGAUCCUCCCAUUUCAGCCUCCUAAGAUGCUGGGACCACAGGCGCACACCACCACACCCAGAGAUACUUCAUAAAGUACCAGCUAAAGAUGCAUGAUGAAGACUAUGAAAUGCCUGAUGUCUGCGGUGAGCUUUAAAAUACCCCAGCAAGAAUAAUAGAUGAAUAAGUAUGCACAAGAUAAAUGAAAGAAGAAUGGCAGAAUUGUGACAAUUGUUGAAGCGAGGUGAUGAUACAUGGGGGUUAUCAUUUUCUUCCCCCUA
rnacentral:lncRNA from 10 species